UUAAGCUUUGCCCCCAUGCUGUAUGAUUUUAGCUUAAAAUCUCUUCCGUUGCAGCUCCGCUUUUAUUGAAUUCAUCAAAAGCAAACUUUCCCUGAGUUUUUUUUAAGACGGGCUAAAAUAAUAAGUCGACCACUGUGACAUUCUCUGGGCUUAGGCCAUUUUUCAUAACGCAGCUGAUACGCUUUUGUGCGGCUAAGGCGACUAAACAGAUGAAUAACGAGAACAGUCUCUCGAAAACGAAAGCUUCCAGCUUUUCUCAUCUUUAAAAAGUUAACUGAAAUGAGAGGUGCAUAUAAAAAACACCACACCAAGGAUCAGGGGAACACUUUUAUACCUCUGAAUGCUUUUUACACACACACACACGCACACACACGCACACACACAAAACUUUAAAGCUUGUGAAACUGCCCAGGUGGUGUUUAAAGGGCCGUACUCAGUGAGUUGUAAAGAAAUAGGAGACAUUUGAGGCAGAUUAUACUUUUUAAAAGAUAUGAAAAUCUCUCGCCCUUUGUUUUUUCUUUACUUUUUUCUUGUUACUGUAUCCACCGUGUUGACUGUAGCGUCUUGAAGGAGCAAAUUUUUACAGUACUCAGGAAGAAUCGCACCAAAUGUAAUGCUUUGGCAGGCUGAGCUCUAAUACUCAUCAGACAUAUGGAAAAUGCCAAUCAAGACUUCCUGGAAAGUCACGUUGCAGACACCAGUGAUCCUGUGAGACUUCCUGUCCCUCAGAGAUUACUUUUGUCAGCAGUGGGCCAAGUCCUUGACCAGAGAGGAGGAUCAUGGGUACAGAAAGGAUCAUUGGUGGCCUCCCCACAAGACAAAGCCGGUUCAGAAGGCUGUGAGACACAGGAAGAGCUGUGGAUUGAUUUUAGUGUGUGAUGUGAAAUCAGCAAAAUGUAUCUUUGUGCCUGCUUUUGGUGCUUUGUCUGGCUACUAUAAAAAUGCUUCUGCUUUUGGGAGGCCCUGUCGAAGAUCUUCACAUUCUUUGUCUUUUCUGCUGUAGCAAAUAAUGACUAUGCUAAGUUUUUCUGUAUAGUUUUACUGUGAUGUGGCUAAUCACCCCAUUGAGCAGCAAAUGGAUCUAUGGGGCACAGUUUGUGAACAGCCUGUAGUCUGAAAUAUGUUUGCAUGAAGAAUUUGUCAAUUUUAAAUAACGAACUUAUUGGUGAAAAUCAAAGUCUUUGUUAAUGAUUUGCAAACAGAAAUUGGGCCAGAGGCUUUGAUUAAACUGUUCACUACAAAUAGUUCACCCAGAUGCAGUCCUCAUCAAUGUCAGUUGACUAUUGCAACCCUUUUCUGUAUGGCUUCCCCAAGCUCCAGCUCUAGAGAUUUAAGCCUAUGCACAGUGUUGCUACCUGUCAUUUCACAUGGAUAUCUGUGCACAUAUAAGUUAGGCCAAUUUUAUUCCUCCUGCAACUUCAUUGACUUCUGUGUAGUUGUAACAAAGAUUAAAAAACAGACCCUCAUCUCCAUCUUCAAAUUCCCCUUGCAUUCCAAAAAUUCAGUUCUACUCUAGAACACCUCAUCGACGCGGUGAGUCCUCCUCCUUCUCCUCUUUACUCUGCAAUUGCACAUGAGUUCACGGUGCAAAAGCCCUCUUUUAUGUCACUCCUAUAAUCUGGAACGGCUUUUUUAUAUCUCUGUGCAUCCACAAUGCCCCAUUCCAUCCCAACUCGCCUUAAAGUACACCUUUUCUGUCCUACAUAUGCCUCUGAAUUCCUGUCCUUCUAUUGCCCUCAUGAAAUGGUUUAACUUAUUCACCAUACAACAUCUUUAGACACUGCUCACACCAAAUGGUCUCUUGUAUUAGUUAACCAUAACUGCUCUUUUAGGUCACACUCUGGUUAAAAGAUAACAAAAUAAAGUUGUGUUU